GCAGCUUUAGCUCACUUGGGAGAGCGCCAGACUGAAGUUACAACUUCGGUUAUUCACCACUCUGUGCGGUAUCUGGAGGUACUGUGUUCGAUCCACAGAAGCUGCA
rnacentral:tRNA from 1 species